rnacentral:rRNA from 1 species
AUGAAGGGGUGGAAAGUGGCCCUGCUAAGUCUGGAUGGGAGGUUGGACUUGGUUAAGAAGGUCUUGUCAGCAAUGCCAAUCUUCCAAAUGAUUGCAAUUCAUAUGCCAACCUGGCUCGAGAAGAUAAUCGACAAGGUCAUGAGAGGGUUCCUUUGGGAAAGCAAGGAAGAGGCCACUGGUGCCAAAUGCUUGGUAAACUGGAAAAGGGUAUGUCACCCAACUGAAUUUGGUGGCCUAGGGAUCAUAAAUCUUGCAGCACAGAGUAUUUCCCUCUGUGCCAGGUGGCUUUGGCAAACGUGGACUAAUAGGAGUAAAUCGUGGCUUGGUCUGGACAUGCCUAUCGACCCAAAGGUCAAGGCACUAUUCAAUGCAUCAGUCAUCUUCCACCUUGGCAAUGGAGAGUGA